rnacentral:rRNA from 1 species
GACGAACGCUGGCGGCGUGCUUAACACAUGCAAGUCGAACGGAAAGGCCCUGCUUUUGUGGGGUUCUCGAGUGGCGAACGGGUGAGUAACACGUGAGUAACCUGCCCUUGUCUUUGGGAUAACUUCAGGAAACUGGGGCUAAUACCGGAGAGGAGCUACCGCUGCAUGGGGGGGGUUGGAGAGUUUCGGCGGUUGGGGAUGGACUCGCGGCUUAUCAGCUUGUUGGUGGGGUAGUGGCUGACAAAGGCUUUGACGGGUAGCCGGCCUGAGAGGGUGAACGGCCACAUUGGGACUGAGAUACGGCGCAGACUCCUACGGGAGGCAGCAGUGGGGAGUAUUGCACAAUGGGCGGACGCCUGAUGCAGCAACGCCGCGUGCGGGAUGACGGCCUUUGGGUUGUAAACCGAUUUCGCAUGUGACGAAGCGUGAGUGACGGUAAUGGGUAAAGAAGCACCGGCUAACUACGUG